ensembl:snRNA U1 U1 spliceosomal RNA
AUACUUUUCUGACAGGGGAGAGAUGAUUAUUAUGAAGGUGAUUUUCCAAGGCUGAGGCUUAUCCAUUGCACUCUGGAUAUGCCGGCCCCUGUGAUUUCCCCAAAUGUAGGAAAUUCAACUGCAUAAUUUAUAGUAGUGAGGAACUGUGCUCAUGCUCUCCCCU